CAACGAAGGACCGUGGUCCCUAAAUUGGAUUUUUUUUGCCUCAACUCCCAAAUGAUCAAUCCCAACAAAGGAAGCGUCAGAUGGGCUUUCUGCUUCACGCUGAACUCUGCCUCCUCUCUAGCACUUGGUUGCUUGAAAGCUGUCUAGACUGGGCUGAAGGAAUGGGAAAGGGACAGCGGAAAGGCUCUGGGGUGGAGACAGGCUCCGGAAGAGGAGCUGGGCCUGUGAUGAGGAUCCUCCUGUUCCGUCCAGGCUGUGUCACCAUUCGUCCCAGAGAGGGCACGAGUCCUCGCUCAGGACUAGAGGUAGUACUGGAAAAUGAAGGCCAGGACAGAAAGACAGAAAACUGAAAGCAAGGCGAUUUUCUAACUGAAGGUCUGGCAGCCUCUCCAGAGCACUCUGGGCAGAGUGAAGCGGGGUUUCACUUCAGGUCAACUGGACUCGCUCUGACAGCACGUUCCUGCUUUCCCGGCACGUGAGUCUGUACCUCAGGGACCUGCCGAGCCAGCUCCGUGUGGUGCCGUGCCCCCACCACGUGAACCUUCCCCCUGGGCCCUGACUACGCCUGCGUCUCUCCCUGCAGCCCGGGAUGACUUGCCUUUGCCUGGUUACCCUUCUCAUCAGAAACAGGAGGAUGCUUGCCUUAAACCUCGAUGAUUAACAUGGAGAAUAAUAAGUUCUGACUUUAAUAAUCCUUCCGAAGAUGAAGAAAUUCUCCACGGAGCCCACUCUCCUCUUGAGUUCUGUUCAGGAAUUAAGUAUAAAGCGGAAUCGCACCCCCCCCCCCCCCAUAGGACUGUUCUCUAAAGCUGCCAUUAAUCAGGGAGAAUUGGCGACGGAAGUGUCCAUCCGAAAGACUGUUCUUACGGUUGAGACCUGCCUGUCGUGGGUGAUGAGAAAGCCACUGCCAUGUCAGGAGGCAGCGCUGUGUAGAGGACCUCAUGGCGAGGGACAGAGGCCUCCCAGCAACCAUGUGAAUGAGUUUGGAUGUGUCCCUCCCCUCACCCACCACAGCCAAGCCUGCUGAUGAGAUCUCUGCCAACUGCUUGACUGCAAUCUCUUGAGGGACCUUGAGGCAGAAGCAUCCAGCUAAGCUGUGCCCAGAUUCCUGACCCACGGAAGCUGUGAGAUAAUAAGUAUUCUUUGUUUUACGUCACUAGGUCUGGGGGUAAUUUGUUAUGCAGCAAUAGAUAACUAACACCAGCACCUACUCUAAUGCCCCAGACAUUAUGAGAAGUGCUUCAUAUACCUGAUAUCAUUUAAUCAAUAAUUUUAGGUGGGUGUUAUUAUCCCAAUUUUUUUUCAGUUGAGAAAACUAAGGUUUAGACAUCUGGGUUUGUGCUCUUAAAUUGGACCCUACAUAUGCUAGGAGUCCCUGUAUGUCACAGUUUGGUCCGCUGCUGCUGCCCCUCUGCCCUGCUCCAUGUCCCCCAAGCUCUGUCAGCUGCCUAGUUCUGUGUCUCAGAAGAGCCUGAAAGGAGACCUGGGAAUUCCUCUCAAGUUUUUUGGACAGAAUCUCACUCUCUACACUGAGUUACCUCUGCCAGGCUGUGCCACCUACUUGCAGCUCCAUUCCUGCUGAAGCAGUGGCUCCCAGCCCCUAAGGAACCCCAGCCUCUUGUUCCUUGCCACCUCUUGCCCUGGGAACCACCUGUGGGCUUGAAAGUCAAGGCUAGUGGUGCUACCCUCAGGCGGGGUAAUGGCACCCUUUCUCUUGCCAUAGGCUGGAGGUUGUUUCCUCAGAGACCACACCACACUCUUUAGGACCCAACAAAUACAACUUUUCCAUUUAUAUCAUGGGGCUGGAGAACCCAGAGGGUGCUGCUGUCACUCCAGGGGAUGGAGAACUCUCACCCUGUGGGUCCUUCCCUAGUCUCUGACAAGAAAGUGGAAACUCUGCCCAGCCUUACUCUGCUUCCUCCACAGUUAAACUGGACACAGGUUUGUGGCAGGGUAUUCCUGGGAGAGUUACACUUGCCACUGCUCAUCAGUCACGUGGGAUAGUCUCUCCUUGGGCCUUUGCAGGGGGUCAGGGGGCAGAUGUGUGGGCUGCCACAUGCCGGGUCCUGAGUCACCACAGUAGUCCUUCUGAUCACAGUAUCUAUUGGUAACUCAGUGAGGCCUUUGACACAUUGGCUGAGUCUCAAGAGAUCUAUGAUGAAUGAUUAUCUUUGGCUAAUAUUAAAAGCAAACUAACUAACUAACCAAACAGAACCGUAAGAGUUAGAAAUGACCUUUUGUGGUUGAUAAGACAUUAUUACAUUUUGCUGUACUGUGUGUGUGUUUGUGUAUGUAACCUCAUAAGCUUAAAGGAAGCCACUGCUCAGAAAGUUAGCUCCAACCAAGUGGACUUUGCACCUCAGUUCCCUGUUAAACCUCGAUGGGAAGGAGCAGAGCCCUAAGAGUCAGAAAGAACUUACGACGAGUGAACCAAGGUCCAAAGGCAACCUCUUCCUGGUGGCAGGAGAACUGGGCUCUUGUCCAGCUCCACCACCUGCUCUCUGGUUAGUCACCUCACUUCUGUGAAUCUCUUUCCUUGUAUGUUAACCCAGGAGGCUGGAGCACGUCACCUCUAAGAAAC
rnacentral:lncRNA from 1 species